AUAAUUUGAGAAUUUGGGAAAACUCUCAACAUGAAAGUUGUAGAUAAUUGAAAUAUCUUUCCAACCAUAGGUCGUGGGACGAAAUGUGAUAUCGGAGUAAUAAGAUAUAGACGUUUUAAGUCUGACAGGCCAAACUAAAUAGUGAAUUCGGCCCAACCCAAUUCUAAUUCGGGUCAGGCCCAAUACCUACGAAAUUAGAUCUGAUUUUUUGUAACUAUUCCUUCAAACUUUAGACCAACAUAAUUCUGGAAAUUUCCAGAGAGAGAGAGAAAGGGAGUUCUUGAGAGAAAUCCCAAAUCCGACCAAAAUUCAAGUCCCGAAAUCCGAAGCUCAUGAAGAGAAAAUUGUUGUACGUCGCGUUGGCUUCAAUUUAAGCUAGAAAUCAGCCAAUAAGGAGAAGAUUUUAUGUGGUGCUGCAAAUUUAAGGUUGAGACAAUAUUGGACAACAUAUACGUAUAAACGCUAAAGGUACAAAUACUCAUUUUGGAGAGCCGCCAACUUAGGAUUCUACUCAACGAGUUUGAAGUGCUCCAUUGUCUCGGAGCCCAAACUUUGGGUACUAAUCCUUAUAAUGUAUAUAUUUGUGUAUUUAGGGGUACGACGGGGCCCUGUCCCGUCAUAUGCUAUUGUUAAUUCUCUUAGAGGUCUGUAGACAUAUGAGUGGGUUGUAUAUAGAUGUUGUCCGGUGUACUAGUAUGACUUAUGUUUUUGGACGUUUACAUUCAGAAUGGAAGCCUUGUCGGCUUACAUAUUAUGUUAUCUUAUUUUUGACAAUUAAGACUCCCCAAGAAAUAGGUGAUUUUAGUAUAUAUAUAAGUAACAGUUUGAGACAACGUGCUACCCAUAUAAAUCCUUUAUCAUGCUUAAUUGCCGAUUGACUAUAGAUAAUAUGUGUGUAUACGAGGGUCCAAUUUGGACACUAGUCACGGGGCUAGGUC